GGAAGUGUCUUUCAAGAACUUGGAACUUGGAACUUACCUAAUAUUGUUCAUGUUUGGUGUUUGAUAAAAAAAUAAAAGUUAAAUAGGGAACUUCACUGUUGAACUUCCCCUCUUCGUGUGUUAAAAACGUUCUGACCAAACUGUCGGAACUUGAAAUGGGAAGUUUUUAUAAAACUUCACCCCCGAUAAAAGUUGCACUCAAAUACAGUCCUCCUCUCCUCGGGUCUCUUGCCCUCAUCGCCCGCUCAACCAUAAGCCACUCAUCCUCUCCUCCUCUCCCAGGUCUCUUGCCCUCAUCGCCCCCAUUGCUGCAAACUUGGAGCUCAGAGAAAACUACAGCGAGUUCUUUUUUUCCAUAUUUUUAUAUUUUUUGGAGCUCAAAGAAAAAUGACUCCAGAUCUUUAAGACUAUGUUUGUGGUUUUGUAAGCCUCAUUUCCCACUCCUUUUUGUUGCUCUCCAUCCCCUUUAUCUCUUCCUUCACCCCUGAAGAUAAGGAGAAAUAGUUGUUCAACUCUCAAGGUGAGCUUUUUUAUGCUCAUUUUUACUUCUUUUUUCAGGUUUUUUUCCCUUCUUAUUUUGAUUCUUUGACACAUUUUUGUUAUAUCUCCAUUUUCUAAGAUAUUCCCCCUUUUCAUGCUUUUUUUUGGGUAAGAUCUAGGGUUUAUUUGUUCAUAUUAGGAUUUGUAGUGUUUUUCAAGUGGCUUUGGGUGAAAUUUUGGCAGAUCUAGGUUUUAUGAUGAUCUAUUUGAAGACUAGGGUGAAGGUCCUUUUUUGGUUAAUAUGAAUUUGAAAUUUCUAGUAUUUUGAAAUUUUCUUUGAAUCUGAAAAGGGUUAGGGUGAUUCUAUGUGUUAGCGGAUUCACAUUUAAACGUUUUCUCUAAUUGUAGUAGAUGAUAGCCCUAUAGGUUUCGGGGGUUUUGUUUAUAGUUUUAUGGACCCUUUCUAUUGAUCAGUGCUUGAUUGAGGUUCUAAACUUUGCUUUUAUUUUUUAUUUAUCUUCUUGAUCUCCAUUUUGUGAAAGAGUUAUUUGAGGUUUUAUUUUAUGUUGUAAUAGCAGUCCUGCUUGAAUGGAUUGCUUUAGUGUGUGUUUAGGGAAAUUGGCUCUACUUUCUUUCACGACCUCUUGAUUCCCUGAUAAUCUUCUUUAAAUUUAGAAGGAUAACUUGUUCCUUAGAAAUAUUGCAUGAUAGCCUCUGAGUUAAGGAUAAUGCUUUGAACUAUGUUCUAGGAAUUUACUGAAAAUUUCAUAAAAUAUGAAACAUGUCUUGAGUAUCUUGAUCAUGUACAAUAUAGUAAAUACACAUCUUAAAAGAGCUGGGAUUCUACUCAUGGUGCCACAAUAUUUCUUUUUUCUGGAUGAUCACGUUUGCCAUUGCUAGUCCAUCUUCUUCCACCUUGAAAACUUUCAUACUUUCUUAGUUUGGAAUCUUUUGCUCAAAAUGUUAACUUCCAACAAGGGAAAGACAACUAAUUAGAGAAUUGUGGACUUUUUUGGCCAAAUGUUAAUACUUUUCUUAGUUUGGAAUCUUUUGCUCGAAACGAUAACUUUCAACAAGGAAAAGAUAGUUGAUAAGAGAAUUGUGGACUUUUGUUGCCAAAUGGUAAUGCUUUUUAGUUUGGAAUCUUUUGCUCGAAAUGUUAACUUUCAACAAGGAAAAGACAACUGAUUAGAGAAUUGUGGACCUUUGUUGUCAAAUUUUAAUAAAACUGAUUUUUUUCAUGAUCUAUGGAAAGUAGCAUAUGCUUUGGGUGUUUUCCAUUUAAUUUUGUCUGUGUAUGUAUUGCAGUAAUUUAUGAUGCCAUUUGACCUUCCAAUUUUUAUCUAUUAAGGAUUUAUGUGCUUGCCAUUUAAUAUGGAUCUAAUUAUCUCACUGAUCCUUAAUAUGAAGUGUGUCGAUGAUAGCAGCAUACAAACAAUCUUUUUUAGAACAUGGGUUGUUUUCAAUAGUUUCUUUUGCUGAGAAUUUUAGAGAUCAGUAUCUCCAUGACAUAAUUCAUACUUGUCCCUUGUAGUUGUCUUCUUUUCCUUGUCACUCUCAUAGAAUCUGAAGGUAAUGUUUUAAAAAUAUUAACAGUAGCAUCAAAGUUGAGAAGAUUGGCAUUUGUUUGUCUUUUGCUUGAUUUGUUGGAGUUUCAAUUGCCUUGGAAAUUGCUUUUCCGGUAUUUUGAACAAUUGCCUAAGUUGUAUACUUAGUUGCCAGAAUUUUUGCUAUGUGAGACUUGAAAGUGUUAAUCCAAUACAGAUACCCAGUUCUUUUUAAUAAGAAAGUAUGAAAGUAUGAAAGUUUGAUAACCCAUGCGUGUUUGAAUGGGUUGAUUUCUUAGUGCUUGCAUUUUCAAUUAUGUAUGUUUAAACUAUAACAAGUUAUUAUUGAAUGGGCUAGUUUUGUACAUGGUUAUAUAUGGAUACAUGAAUUGUGAAUGUUACUUGACAUGCAUCACAAAUGCCUUAAUAGAUAACAUAUAAUUGUUGUGUGUCAUUAUAAUCUUAGAGAGAGAGAGAGAGACGGAACACACAAAUGUUUUAAGGGACAAGUUUAUUGUUGAAUGACGUAUAUUUUUUAGGUUGGGAUAUAGAUACAUCAGUGGUGAAUGUAAGUAGUGCUCAAGUUAUUACAGGUGAUUGUUGAAUGGGUUGCUUUCUUAUUGUUUGUAUUGUGCAUGUACGUUUGAAUAGGCAGAUUUCUUCGUGCUUGCAUUUUCAAUUAUAUAUGUUUAAACUAUUACAAGUUAUUGUUGAAUGGCGA
rnacentral:lncRNA from 1 species